GACGAACGCUGGCGGCGUGCUUAACACAUGCAAGUCGAACGGAAAGGCCCUGCGUUUGUGGGGUGCUCGAGUGGCGAACGGGUGAGUAACACGGGAGUAACCUGCCCUUGACUUUGGGAUAACUUCAGGAAACUGGGGCUAAUACCGGAUAGGAGCUCAUGCUGCAUGGUGGGGGUGGGAAAGUUUCGGCGGUUGGGGAUGGACGCGCGGCUUAUCAGCUUGUUGGUGGGGUAGUGGCUUACCAAGGCUGUGACGGGUAGCCGGCCUGAGAGGGUGACCGGCCACAUUGGGACUGAGGUACGGCCCAGACUCGUACGGGAGGCAGCGGUGGGAAGUAUUGCACAGUGGGCGGAAGCCUGUGGCGGCGGCGCCGCGUGCGGGAUGACGGCCUUCGGGUUGUGAACCGCUUUCGCCUGUGACGAAGCGUGAGUGACGGUAAUGGGUAAAGAAGCACCGGCUAACUACGUG
rnacentral:rRNA from 1 species